rnacentral:rRNA from 1 species
GACGAACGCUGGCGGCGUGCUUAACACAUGCAAGUCGAACGGAAAGGCCUGCUUUCCCUUGUGGAUUGCGGGUACUCGAGUGGCGAACGGGUGAGUAACACGUGAGUGAUCUGCCCCCAACUUGGGUAUAAGCCUGGGAAACUGGGUCUAAUUCCCGAUAGGACUGCAGGGUGGUGCCUGUGGUGGAAAACGAUUUUCUAGUGGUUGGGGAUGAGCUCGCGGCCUAUCAGCUUGUUGGUGGGGUAAUGGCCUACCAAGGCGGCGACGGGUAGCCGGCCUGAGAGGGUGGACGGCCACAUUGGGACUGAGAUACGGCCCAGACUCCUACGGGAGGCAGCAGUGGGGAAUAUUGCACAAUGGGCGGAAGCCUGAGGCAGCGACGCCGCGUUGGGGAUGACGGCCUUCGGGUGGUAAACUCCUUUCGACCGCGAGGAAGCCACCUGGUUGGAAGGGUGGUGACGGUAGUGGUAGAAGAAGCACCGGCUAACUACGUG